rfam:Fukomys damarensis contig114729, whole genome shotgun sequence.
CAAAAGGCUCUUUUCAGAGCCACUGACUUUUAUCAUUGAGGGUUG